ACAGGUGGUGCAUGGUUGUCGUCAGCUCGUGUCGUGAGAUGUUGGGUUAAGUCCCGCAACGAGCGCAACCCUCGACCUUAGUUGCCAGCAUUCAGUUGGGCACUCUAAGGUGACUGCCGGCUAAAAGUCGGAGGAAGGUGGGGAUGACGUCAAAUCAUUAUGCCCCUUAUGACCUGGGCUACACACGUGCUACAAUGGGCGGUACAAAGGGUCGCGAACCCGCGAGGGGGAGCCAAUCCCAAAAAGCCGCUCUCAGUUCGGAUUGCAGGCUGCAACUCGCCUGCAUGAAGCCGGAAUCGCUAGUAAUCGCGGAUCAGCAUGCCGCGGUGAAUACGUUCCCGGGCCUU
rnacentral:rRNA from 1 species